rnacentral:rRNA from 1 species
UACAUAGGUGGCAAGCGUUAUCCGGAAUUAUUGGGCGUAAAGCGCGCGCAGGUGGUUUCUUAAGUCUGAUGUGAAAGCCCACGGCUCAACCGUGGAGGGUCAUUGGAAACUGGGAGACUUGAGUGCAGAAGAGGAAAGUGGAAUUCCAUGUGUAGCGGUGAAAUGCGUAGAGAUAUGGAGGAACACCAGUGGCGAAGGCGACUUUCUGGUCUGUAACUGACACUGAGGCGCGAAAGCGUGGGGAGCAAACAGG